GUUUUCCUUUUCCUUUUUGUUUUCUUUUCUUUCUUCUUUUUGUUUGAUCACAAGCGGAACCUUUCCUCACUUGCAAAUGACAAGUGAGGGUGGCCUUCUGCCCGUUUCAGGUGCUGUAAAAAAAUAUGCCUGGGGGAAAGUAGGCAAACAAAGUGAAGUAUUUAAUCUCUUCCUU
rnacentral:ribozyme from 1 species